UUGCUGGAUAACUAUGUUUUAAUAGAAACAUGAUUAACAUUCUUCAUGAAAAGUUAGAAACAAGGUAUCUUACAUCUAACUGAUGUAAGAGGUCUUCUAACUUGUUUUAACCAAAUAAAAAUAUAUUGUCUUUUCUAAAUAGCAAAAAAAAAAAAAAAAAAAAACUAUAACAGUCUCUAACUUCUGAAACUCAAAAAUUACACAAAUUGUUGUCACAUUUAUGCCAUCAUCCAUAUGCAAAGUGCCAUCCCAGCCAUUUGAGCUACAAGUCAUCUGAUCUAAUUGUGCUUAAAACAAUAACCCAAUAAAAUGAAAUGGCAUCCUGGAAGACAAUCUGAUGGAAAAUUCUUGCUCCUUAAACUAUAAAUACAAGAAAGCAGUGAUGUUGGGGAUCUUGUGGCAAAGGGCCAUCGAAAACAACAAUUAUUUUAAGUUUCAAGCAAAGUAGUUUUCCUGUGUGGUGGGUUGACCCUGGCUGGAUAUCAGGUGCCAACCAAAGCCACUGUAUCACUCCCCUCUCAGCUGUAUGUUAGAAUGGAAAUAUAACAAAAGGCUCUUGGGUUGAAGUAAGAAUAGGCAGUGAUAACUCACAAGUACUCUCAUGGGUAAACAGACUUGACUGAGGUAAAUUAGUUUACUUUACUACAAAUCAAAUUGGAUUAAGAUAAUCAGAAAUAAAAACUAAAUCUUAAAAACACUUUUUCCAACUCCUCCCUUCUUCUUGAGCUUGACUUGACCCACAAUUUUCUCUACCUCUUCCACCCAGUGGUGCAGGGAUAUGGGAAAUGGGGGUUUGCAGCCAGUUCAUCACAUACUGUCUCUGUUGCUCCAUCUGUCUCAAGGAAGGACUCCACAUUUGUCCUGCUCUAGCAUGGGGCCCUUCCCAUGGGACACAAUCCUCCAGAAACUUCUUCAAUGUGAGUUCUUCCCCUGGGCUCCAUAAACUGCUCCAGAGUAGGUUCCUUCCACGAGGUUUUUGGGUUAAUUAUGAUAGGGCUUAAUGACUUGUUUAAAUAACUUAUACACUUCUCCAUGAACUGCAGUUCCAUUUCCCUCUACCAGGGAGACACUACCAUUUCCUUCCUCAGGCUAGUCUUUUCUUACAGUUUUCUUGCUCUGACUGGAUCAGCUUUCCCAAUCCACCUACUCAGUCUUAAAUACCACAAUGCUCCCUCUCCACAGAGGGAUAGUGAGAAUGCAGUUUAUAGCACAAAGCAAGACUAGCAUUCUAUUAAAGUGCCAAUUCAUUUCCUCAGACAAGUGAUAGAAGAUUAAAAAAAAAAGACUACAUCCUGCAGGUAGUUUUAUACUAUUGGCCUCAAUAACGACAACCUGUAUCAAAACCAGUACAUUCCACCAAUUUUAGAGUUGUGUGCUUUCUACAUUCAUGCAGAGGUUUAGAAGAAGCUAUGCACAAAAUAAGGAAACUGCUUAAAUAUAGCAGCAGUAACUCUUCCAGCAAAAGUUUAAACAUUCUUGAAAAUAACCUGCAUAGAAUUACAUUAUCAGUGACAGGACCCAGAUGAGAUUCAUGCAUUCAGGCAGUCACAAAACUUGAGUUCGGUCUCCAUUUUGCUGUUGAAUCUAAAUAAAGCAAAAAAAAAAAAAAAAAA
rnacentral:lncRNA from 1 species